rnacentral:rRNA from 1 species
ACAGUGGACGCGAGCAUCUGUGGCCAAGUUUUUAAGGGCGCACGGUGGAUGCCUUGGCACCAGGAACCGAUGAAGGACGUGGGAGGCCACGAUAGUCCCCGGGGAGCCGUCAACCAGGCUUUGAUCCGGGGGUUUCCGAAUGGGGAAACCCGGCAGUCGUCAUGGGCUGUCACCCGCUGCUGAACACAUAGGCAGUGUGGAGGGAACGAGGGGAAGUGAAACAUCUCAGUACCCUCAGGAAGAGAAAACAACCGUGAUUCCGGGAGUAGUGGCGAGCGAAACCGGAUGAGGCCAAACCGUAUGCGUGUGAUACCCGGCAGGGGUUGCGCAUGCGGGGUUGUGGGAUCUCUCUUUCACAGUCUGCCGGCUGUGAGACGAGUCAGAAACCGUAUGGAUAGGCGAAGGACAUGCGAAAGGUCCGGCGUAGAGGGUAAGACCCCCGUAGCUGAAAUUCAUGCGGCUCGUUUGAGAGACACCCAAGUAGCACGGGGCCCGAGAAAUCCCGUGUGAAUCU